rnacentral:rRNA from 1 species
CAGGACCGGUGCCAGCCGCCGCGGUAACACCGGCAGCUCAAGUGGUAGCCGCUUUUAUUGGGCCUAAAGCGUCCGUAGCCGGUCUGAUAAGUCUCUGGUGAAAUCCCACAGCUUAACUGUGGGAAUUGCUGGAGAUACUAUCAUGACUCGAGGUCGGGAGAGGCUGGAGGUACUCCCAGGGUAGGGGUGAAAUCCUGUAAUCCUGGGAGGACCACCUGUGGCGAAGGCGUCCAGCUGGAACGAACCUGACGGUGAGGGACGAA